rnacentral:rRNA from 1 species
CGCGUGAGGAUCUCCGCGCCGCCAGACGCAUUUGUCUCUCGUCCGAAAGGACGCCGCAGCCGGUCGGGCAGCGCAAGCGCGACGGCCUGAGGGGCGGAAGGUGGCAGGUGACCAGUGGCGCGCCCUGCGCUUCGCUGGUUGUUAGCCGUUCCGCCGGUGGCUCGUCGCCCGACCGAGGUGUGUGUCGCCUCCUCCGUUUGCGGAAGUCGUGACGGGGCGCGGCGAGCGAAGUCUGCCGGCCGUCGCACUCUCGACGAGUGGGCGAGUCGAGCAGAGGGCUCUGUCAGCCGCGACGGGCACGUCGGAGGUCGGAGGCUAGCGGCGAGUAGGUCGGUCACCCACCCGACCCGUCUUGAAACACGGACCAAGGAGUCUAACAUGUGCGCGAGUCGAUGGGUCUUGAACAGGCCCAGGGGCGCAAUGAAAGCAAAGGUCGACUCCCGUCGACCGAGUUGGGAUCCCCUUCCUCCGAAAGAGGGGAGGGGCGCACCAACGACCCGUCCCGUGCCGUUCGCGGCUGGGGCGGAGUCCGAGCGCACACGUUGGUACCCGAAAGAUGGUGAACUAUGCCCGGACAGGACGAGGCCA